ensembl:lncRNA
CCGGUUCAUGCGCGUCAAAAUUGCAUAUUUUGACGCGCGAUGGAUUUUUCUUGGACACGCGUUGAGGUGCGAAUGUGCACGCGUCAAAUUAGGGGCGUUUGGGGCGUUUUCGCUCGCGCCUAUCGCGUUCGGUGUGAACACACCGUAAGACGGACAGAGACAGGGUUAAUCACAGAGUUGACUUCAAAGGGACCAAUGAAAGUGGGAGACAGUUUCUUGGAUUCAGACCUGAGUGGGACGAAUCUGGUGGACAGCCAAACCUUUUGUCCAGGUGCGUAGGUGGGGGCAGGGGUCCGGUGGCGAUCCACCAGGCGCUUAUUGCGUUCCACUGUGCGGAGAAGGGCGGCCCGAGUCGCUCUCCAGGCACGCCGACACCUCCGAAGAUGCUGUUGGACAGAGGGAACAAAGUGCUCACCUUCGACGGCUGGGAAAAGUGGCGGUUGAUAGCCCAAGGACGCCUCGAAAGGGGACACACCGGUGGCAGAGGAGGUAAGACUGUUAUGAGCAUACUCAAUCCAUGACAGUUGCUCGCUCCAAGUUGACUGGUUAGUGGAUACCAGGCACCGGAGAGCCGCUUCGAGCUCCUGGUUGGCACGCUCCGUUUGGCCAUUGGUCUGUGGGUGGAAACCAGAGGAGAGACUGACCUGAGCUCCGAGGGCACUGCAGAACUCCUUCCAAACACGUGAUGUAAACUGCGGUCCUCUGUCUGACACAAUGUCCGCGGGGAUUCCAUGGAGGCGAAAAACGUGGUUAGUUAGCAGCCGGGCGGUCUCUAGAGCAGUGGGGAGCUUAGGGAGGGCGACAAAAUGAGCAGCUUUGGAGAAACGGUCCACAAUGGUGAGAAUGACAGCGUUACCUGACGAGACGGGCAGACCAGUGAUGAAGUCAACGGCGAUGUGCAACCAGGGACGACUCGGAGUCAGCAGAGGUUGGAGGAGGCCAGAGGGUGGUUGAUGGACGCUCUUGUUUUGAGCGCAGGUCGAGCAUGUGGAAACAUACUCGCGGAUGUCUUUGGCAAGGGAAGGCCACCAGGCGAAACGUUGAAGGAAGGCAAUAGUGCGAUGGACCCCCGGGUGGCAGGUGAAUCUGGCCGUAUGAGCCCAAUGUAACACUCGUGACCUUACUGAGGAGGGGACGAAGAGCAACCCUGGAGGUCCCGUUCCGGGGUCUGGUUCUGUCCGUUGAGCUUCUCGAAUGGCCGACUCGAUCUCCCAGGUCAGAGCCCCGAUUACACAGGUGGGCGGUAGAAUGGGAGAGUCCCGAGCUGCGUCUUCGGAGGCGGCGAAUUGGCGUGAGAGGGCGUCUGGCUUGACAUUACGGGAACCGGGUCUGUAAGUGAUCGUGAACUGAAAUCUAGUAAAAAACAGGGCCCACCUGGCUUGCCUGGCGUUGAGGCGUUUAGCCGAUCGAAUGUACUCCAGGUUCUUAUGAUCGGUCCAGACCACAAACGGCUGGGCAGCGCCCUCAAGCCAAUGGCGCCACUCCUCCAGGGCUAGCUUGAUGGCUAGUAGCUCUCGAUCUCCCACAUCAUAGUUGCUCUCUGUGGAGGAGAGACGGCGUGAAAAGUAGGCACAGGGGUGCAGCUUACCUCCUUGCCGCUGGGAAAGUACCGCCCCCACUCCAGCGUCCGAGGCGUCCACCUCCACAAUGAACUGCAGGUCGAGAUCGGGUUGGACAAGAAUGGGCGCCGAGGCAAAGCGGUCCUUCAGAUGGGCAAACGCUCGUUGAGCCAGCUCAUCCCAGCAGAAGGGAACCUUGGGAGAAGUAAGACGGGUCAGAGGCAGGGCAAGUUUACUGUAGUCGCGAACAAAGUGACGAUAAAAGUUUGCGAACCCCAGGAAGCUUUGAAGCUGUCUACGGUUGGAAGGAGUCGGCCAGUCAACCACGGCUUGAACUUUUGCGGGAUCAGUCUUGAGGUUACCAUGAUCAAUGACGUGGCCCAGGAAGGCAACAGUGGAGACAUGAAACUCACACUUCUCCCCUUUAACAAAGAGACGAUUUUUGAGGAGACGCUGGAGGACUUGCCUGACAUGGCGUUGGUGGUCGGCGACGGAGCGGGAGAAGAUGAGGAUGUCGUCCAAGUAGACGAAAACGAAAUGGUCGAUGAAAUCUCGGAGCACGUCGUUCACGAGAACCUGAAACACAGCUGGAGCACUGGUGAGACCGAAAGGCAUUACAAGAUAUUCGAAAUGGCCCAGGUGAGUAUUGAAAGCCGUCUUCCACUCGUCUCCCUCCCUAAUCCUCACCAGAUGGUAGGCGUUGUGCAGGUCCAACUUUGUGAAAAUGGUGGCACCCUGGAGAAGCUCAAAUGCGGAACUCAGCAGAGGGAGGGGAUACUUGUUUUUAACUGUGACGGAGUUGAGGCCGCGAUAGUCAAUACAGGGCCGUAGACUCUUAUCUUUCUUGGUGACAAAAAAGAAACCAGCGGCAACAGGUGAGGACGAGGGGCGAAUGAGACCAGCGGCAAGUGACUCAUUAAUGUAUUUUUCCAUGCUUUCCCGCUCCGGUCGAGACAGGCUGUACAACCUACUGGUCGGGAGUGGCGCGCCUGGGAGGAGGUCAAUCCCACAAUCAUACGGCCGGUGAGGAGGAAGGGAGCGAGCCUUAUCUUUACAAAACACUUGCGCCAGGUCAUGAUAAACAGAUGGUAUGGAGGACAGAUCAGGCAGUUCUGAAACAGUUUUACUGGGUGGUAGGCUCAUGGCGGGGGUGGCGGCUUUUAAACAGGACAUGUGACACUCCUCCCCCCACCCCGAAAUGCUUUCCUUCCUCCAAUCAAUCACAGGGUUAUGUAGACAUAGCCAGGGAUAACCUAAGACUAGUGGUGUGAGCGGGGCUUUAAAGACAUACAACUGUAUGGUUUCAACAUGAUUGCCAGAAAGAGUCAGGGAAACCGGUUCUGUGACAUGAGUAAUGUCUGGAAGACGCUGGCCACUAAGGGCUGUGACUUGGAGUGAAUGAGACAGAGGCUCCGUGAUAAAACCUAAUUUGAGCGCCAGCGAGGCAUCAAUAAAAUUCUGUUCUGCCCCGGAAUUGAUCAGAGCGUCGAGAGAAUGAGUCUUGAGACGAACCGUUAGCUUAGCUGCAAUCAUGAGACGAGGAGGAGACUGAGAACAGGUGACCUCGCCCACCCGUACACUCCUCACUACCGGCAGGCGCUGUCUUUUGGCCGAGCCGGGCAAUCCAUGGCAAUAUGGCCCCUGCGGCCACAAUAAAAGCACUCACCGGCUCUCCAGUGACGAUACCGCUCCUCGGGCGACAGUCUGGAGCGGCCCAGUUGCAUGGGCUGUUCACCUUCCUCCAUGCUGUCCGAUGCGUGACUGCCGCUAAGCGCGCCUCCACCUGACGUCGUCUCCAUGCGCCCCGGGGGCCGCUGGGAAAUGUAGUUUCCGGUUCCCCGGCGCGCCCAUAGGUGCUCAUCUAUUUUCACACAUAGUGUAAUCACAUCAGACAGGGUUUUAGGAACAUCCCUCAUCAUCAAUUCUCUCUUUAACUCAUCACAAACAUUAUUCAAGAGAGUACUUAUCAAUGCCGACUGCCCCCACCCAGUCUCUUCGGCCAAGGUCCAGAAUUCGACCGAAAAAUCCGCCAUACUCCGCCUCCCCUGCUUCAAAUUUAACAGUCUGUGGGCGGCCGCCUCCGCUCCGGUGCCCCUUUCAAAAACACUUUUAAAUUUGGUGAGGAAGUCCUCGUAAGAAAUCUCAGGGGCUGUUCUUAAAACGGCUUGCGCCCAGUUUAAUGCCUGCCCACGUAACAGUUGAACCAUAAAGGCGAUUUUGGCCCCGUCUGUCUCAUACGUUCUUCGUAACUGACGGAAUUGUAGCGUGAUCUGAGUCAAAAAUCCACCACAUUUAUCGAACUCACCCGAGAAGGGCUCCGGCGCCGGUAACGAUUGCUCUGGAGGUUCAGUGGCAGCCGGUGCGGGGUGAACAGGUGGAGCGGCUGCAGAUGGAUUCGGGGCCGAUAGCUGAGGAGAAACAGACGGAGGAGGUGAGGAUGGGCUUACCGACGGUAGAUGUUGAGCGAGGACUUGAGUGAGUGCAGCCAGUUGUUGAUUUAUGUGCCAAAGCAUGUGUUCGUGGUGUUCCAGAAUUGCCUCCGGGGUGAGGACGGGUUGCUGGGUGGGGUUUGAGUCCGCUGAGUCCAUGAUGGCUGGAUCGUUAUUGUUACGGUUUGGAGGAGGACUCAAGCGCAGGACUCCGAUUCUGAUGCUCACAGAAAGGGUUUAUUUACAAUGCACCAGGUGUAUAUACAAGAAUGUGCGGGGGGGUGCUAUAUACAGCUGAGUGAGGGGAGAAGGGGUCUCCAGGGAAGUCCAGGGGAAAGCACGCAUUCUUCAGAAUAUCCACUCACACGAUCACAGGCUCACACUCCGACACUGCCACACGGGAAUCACACGGGGGGAAAAUCCAGGGAGCUCUGUAGACAGGGAGACAGGGUAAGUACGACGCACACAGGAAAACACUCUUAACUAACUUGCUGUAGCUUGGCUUCACUAACGCGUGGUAGACAACGAUCCAGCGACGAACAGCAGUCACCUCCUGGCUUAAAUGCUGACCAUCAUAAUGAGACCCAGGUGUCUCAUCUCCCGAGGGCGUGGGCCGAGGGCGUGAACCCACAGUGAGUUCCGCCCCGGCGAGAGAGAAGCAGAGAGAGAGAGGAAGAGAGAGAGAAACAGAGAGAGCUGAUCAGCGUGCAGCUGAUCCGCCUGGCCGUGACAGCUUUGCAAUGCUUUCUUCAGCUCUACAGCAGAAUAUGUAGGCGAAGCUCGGAGAUGAUGUCACUCUCCAGUGUGAGAUUUCCACAGAUGAAAUGAUCUCAGUGCUAAUCAGAGAUGGGCAGUAAUGUAUUACAAGUAACGUGUUACUGUAAUCCGAUUACUUUUUUCAAGUAACGAGUAAAGUCACUAUUGGAAAAAAGGUAAUUAGAUUACUGUUACUUUCCUAUAAGCAUGCUGCAUUACUGCAUUAUUUUUUGCGAGAGUGUCUCAUGACAAUGACGUAAGCACGUGCGACGUUCAUGGCAACAGCUGUGUGCAGAUCAAAAAUGGAUAAUAUAUCAAGUGCAGGAGAGAGUAUGAGCAUGCAGCGUUUGAAGCGUAGAAGUACUGACCUUACUUUGAGUUUGAGUCCAUAAAAAGUUACAAAAACAUUAACGUCCGCUGUUUGAAGAAAACUUAUUUUUACAGCAAAAAACAACCCCAAACUUCCAAGCAAGCACCGAGUAUGCUGCCACGGGAAUGUGAAAUUCACAGAGAAACUGCCAGAUCCUUCCACUGACCGCCGCAGCACACCUGCACCAGGCAGCACCAGGGUAAACCUCCGCCUGCCCCACUCCUGCUUUACAGGUCAGAUCAUUUUUGCCUCAGAGGCCCCAUCGGAGGAAGUGGGGGACGAGAGCCUUCUUGUCCUGCUCCGUUGUCUUCGGGAAGAGGUGGACCUUCGGGGGCUUUAUUCGUAGGUUGCUACCGCUAAGAUUCGCCUAAGACUUGUCGGAGCUGGAUUAAUCCCAACAACCGACUGUGUUUAACACCCAGGCUGUCACCUGAAAGCAUGGAUAGCCAAGCCUCAUCACGGCAGGAACCCUGUUUUGCUGCGCGGCUUACCGCAUAGUGUGGAGCGUUCCUGGCAACUCUACCCCUGUACCGGCCAGACAACCAUCACAGCUGAGUCUGGGCAGAACAUCUCGCUGCCAUGUCAAGUUCCAGCUAAUAAUGAGCAGGUCUUGGCUGUUCAGUGGAGCAGAGCUGACCUGAAGCAAGAGUAUGCCCUUUUGUACAGAGAUGAGGUUUUUGUUCCAGACAACCAGCAUCCAGCUUUUAAGAACCGGGUGGAUCUGCAGGACAGACAGAUGAAGGAUGGAGACGUGUCUUUGAUUCUGAAGAAUGUGACAUUUAACGACACUGGAACAUACGAGUGUCGCAUCUUCAGGAGAGGAACAAACCACAGGAUUAGUACCAUCACCUUGAGUGUUGUUCCUCCAGGUCCACCACAAGGACACACAGCAGACAGAGAGGAGGAGGGUGGAGUCAGCAGAGGACACUUUGGACUGGCAGCUGCUGUUGUUGUUGCUUAUCUAAUCAUCAUUGCUGUGAUGGCUGCUGUUUUGAUCUCCCGUUAAUUGAUAUACGUCUAUAUGGGUGAAUGAGACAUGUUGUAUAAAGUGCUUUGAGUGCUCCAGGAGAGUAGAAAAGCGCUAUAUAAGAAUAAGUCCAUUUACCAUCAUUUACACCAGCAGCACCACCAGCACUGGACUCCCUGUCAGAGCGGUGAAUGUUGUCCAGGAUAAAGACAAUGUUGGAUAAUACCUCCCACCAAUGUUCCCUCUAAGCUGCGCAAUUGCGCACUGCUGGCACGGUCUCUGCACACAAAAAAUCUGCGUUGCGCACAAAAAAAUCUAACCUGAAUUGAAAUUAAAAUUAAAACUUUAACAAUUCUGUUUUGCAGUGUUAGUAAGUGACUGGCUGCUCCUGUAUGGGAUUAGAACGAUGCCACCUUAUCCCAUAGUCCAGCCAAUCACGCGAUUCACUUUCUUAUAUAUGCAGCUAAUCAACGUCGUUGACAGGCUAUGACAGCGUUCUUAUGUGCCGACACCGGUGUUUUAGCUAGCAAAGCGGCGUGGCUGAUGAGGAG